UACGAGGGGGGCAAGCGUUGUUCGGAAUUAUUGGGCGUAAAGGGCGCGAAGGCGGUUUGACAAGUCUGAUGUGAAAUCUAUGGGCUCAACCCAUAGCCUGCAUUAGAAACUGUCGGGCUUGAGUAUGGGAGAGGUGAGUGGAAUUUCCGGUGUAGCGGUGAAAUGUGUAGAUAUCGGAAGGAACACCUGUGGCGAAAGCGGCUCACUGGACCAUAACUGACGCUGAGGCGCGAAAGCUAGGGGAGCAAACAGG
rnacentral:rRNA from 1 species